CAGCCGUAAACUAUGCUCGCUAGGUGUCAGGCAUGGCGCGACCGUGUCUGGUGCCGCAGGGAAGCCGUGAAGCGAGCCACCUGGGAAGUACGGCCGCAAGGCUGAACUUAAAGGAAUUGGCGGGGAGCACAACAACGGGUGGAGCCUGCGGUUUAAUUGGACUCAACGCCGGACAACUCACCGGGGACGACAGCAAUAUGUAGGCCAGGCUGAAGACCUUGCCUGAAUCGCUGAGAGGUGGUGCAUGGCGUAGACGUCU
rnacentral:rRNA from 1 species